UGCAUGGUUGUCGUCAGCUCGUGUCGUGAGAUGUUGGGUUAAGUCCCGCAACGAGCGCAACCCUCGUUCCAUGUUGCCAGCAGCACCUUCGGGUGGCUGGGGACUCAUGGGAGACUGCCGGGGUCAACUCGGAGGAAGGUGGGGAUGACGUCAAAUCAUCAUGCCCCUUACGUCUUGGGCUUCACGCAUGCUACAAUGGCCGGUACAAAGGGCUGCGAUCCCGUGAGGGGGAGCGAAUCCCAGAAAGCCGGUCUCAGUUCGGAUUGGGGUCUGCAACUCGACCCCAUGAAGUCGGAGUCGCUAGUAAUCGCAGAUCAGCAACGCUGCGGUGAAUACGUUCCCGGGCCUUGUACACACCGCCCGUCAAGUCACGAAAGUCGGUAACACCCGAAGCCGGUGGCCCAACCCUUGUGGAGGGAGCUGUCGAAGGUGGGACUGGUGAUUGGGACU
rnacentral:rRNA from 1 species